rnacentral:rRNA from 1 species
CCUACGGGAGGCAGCAGUGAGGAAUAUUGGUCAAUGGGCGCGAGCCUGAACCAGCCAAGUAGCGUGAAGGAUGACUGCCCUACGGGUUGUAAACUUCUUUUAUAAAGGAAUAAAGUGAGGCACGCGUGCCUUUUUGUAUGUACUUUAUGAAUAAGGAUCGGCUAACUCCGUGCCAGCAGCCACGGUACUACGGAGGAUCCGGUCGUUAUCCGAAUUUAUUGGGUUUAAAGGGUGCGUAGGGGGGCUUUUAAGUCAGCGGGAAAAAUUCGGGGCUCAACCCCGUCCGGCCGUUGAAACUGGGGGCCGUGAGUGGGCGAGAAGAAGGCGGAAUGCGUGGUGUAGCGGUGAAAUGCAUAGAGAGCACGCAGAAACCCGAUUGCGAAGGCAGCCUUCCGGAGCCCUACUGACGCUGAGGCACGAAAGUGCGGGGAGCGAACAGGAUUAGAUACCCGGGUAGUC